UACGUAGGGUCCAAGCGUUGUCCGGAUUUAUUGGGCGUAAAGAGCUCGUAGGCGGCACGGUAAGUCAGGAGUUAAAACGCAAGGCUCAACCUUGCGUCGCUUCUGAUACUGCCGAGCUUGAGUAUGGCAGGGGAGAACGGAAUUCCACGUGUAGCGGUGAAAUGCGCAGAUAUGUGGAGGAACACCAGUGGCGAAGGCGGUUCUCUGGGCCAUCACUGACGCUGAGGAGCGAAAGCGUGGGGAGCGAACAGG
rnacentral:rRNA from 1 species